GUGUGUGUGUAAAUUGAAAAACCAGUUUUCAUUUUGAAGUUGGGAGUCGAUUUUUCUACAAGUCUCACACUUUUUCCUAGUGUCUUGAACAAUGUGUAAACCCCAAGCACUGCACCAACAGCACCUAAUGGUAAAAUGGGCCCGUUUGUGUAUCCCCAGGUCUCCAUAUGCCCAGGUGCAUGGUAUGCUCACUAUGAUACCACAGUGUGCUUCUGCUUCUAUUCUAAUGAGUCAUUCACUGCUUAAUUCUCUUCUAAGUUAAGAAAUCCAUGCAUGUGUCGUUGAGUGGUUUUGCUUUAAAGUUUAUAUAGGUCUGUGGUGGAAAAUUGUGCUUAUUAAUUUUAUGAAACUAUUAAGUUAAAAAAAAUACAUGAUACUUUAACUGAAAUUUGUGUUCUUACAUAUGAAGCAUCAUUAUUCUACUUUCUUCAUUGGUUGCUGCGACAGGAGAAACUGAAAAAUACGGCUUCUACCCACAUUCAAAAAGCAGAUCAAGACUCUACUGCUUUGUCUGUGGUUGCCCUAGAAUUCUCAAGAUACGUUUAUAAUUAAUCCAAGUCCAUGUUGGAAGAGCACCACACCACAGACAGUAUGGUUCCUUUUCCCCUCCCACUGCCGGAGCCCGAGGAGAUUUUUCUCAGAUACUCACCGUAGAAGCCUUGUCAAGAUCCUGGAGAUUGACUGACCCUGUGACUGAAUUUUGCAAUGAAUCCUUAUCAGAUUGUUAUACACCACUGCAAAUGGGCACCUUAAAAUUAGAUGGAAGAAACAGAAUAUGUUACCAGAGGAUGUGCUGACUGGAUAAAAAAUUCAGGAGUCUUGUGUCUUCUGUCAUCUAUGGGAUUAUAGUAGGCCAACUUGUUAACUUCAAAAUAGGAUAACAUCUCAUAUCCUUCCAGUAAGUGAAAACAGUGAGGUCCUCCAUCAAAGUUCCAGAUGAAAUGCUGCAACUUCCUCGAAGGAAUCAAUUUCUGCUUCUUCAUACAGGAAGAUGGUGUGGCGUACUGCUGGGCAAGUGCAGGCCUCGUAGGCCAGCGGGGUGCAGCCCAACACCCAUCAACGAAAUAAAGGUAAGCAAA